CACAUCUCUCCCCCGAUUCCCCUCUCUCACGCGAGCUCCAUGGCCACAAGGCCCACAACGUUGCCGCCGCCCCCGAAUCCGGGCAGUUCCGGCGCAGUUCCGUGCCGCUGCUCACCGGCCCCCUCCCCCUCACUGUUCUUCUCCUAUCUUCCGCCGCCUUAACGUCGUCCCCGCCCCUGCACGCGCCCCCGCAGCAACCCUAGUGGCCACGGGUCGCUGGUGCGGCUCCCCUGCCUCUGGUUUAUCUGCCAACUACCCCUGCGUCUCCGCACCCAUGGCUGCCAACUCGGGCUCAACGGUGCUGCUCCGCCUCGGUCACCUCGACUCUGACGUCGACAGUCCUGUAAGUCACUCCUCCCCUCUGCUGCUUUGUGUGGCAAGGCCAUCGUGCCAUGGCUGAUUCCUUGCCGUCCAUCACGAUGAUGAUCCUAAUAAACCAAAUAUUACUCUGUAGAAGCGUUACUUUUGUUGAGGAGUGCUGCCUAAAUUUGUUCUUCCACUGUGGCGUUCUAACAAUAAUUAUCCUGGCCAAGUUGCAUAAAGAAAGUAACUAAUUUGCAUCUAGAAAUGUACUAGUAUAUAUAAGGCUUGUAAGUGCAUUUGGCAGCAACAAAAAAUAGCUUGCAUCCCAUCUAAUUAACCAACUCAAUCAAUUUUUUGACGGUUAUAUCUAUAUAUAGCAUAUAGCUCAAAUAUAUAUAUGUGGCAUGUACUCUCUGUCCCAGUUGUCCUUUACAUGUGUGCAUAAUCUGUCGCAAAGCCUUUUCUUGCAAAUGCAACAAAUAUCGCUAACUAGCCAUUGACCUCCUUAAUUAUUCAUAUCUAGUACGUGCAAAUGGUAAUUAUAGGCUUAUAGCAUGGACGGCUAUGAACCCCAGAUGGCCAGAAGCAGGGGCGGAUCCACUAUUGGUCAUGGCUGUAGCUCUCCUGUGACAAAAAUUCCUAUAUGUAGGUAUAUGGCAAAAAUACUAAGAGUACAUUCUUUGAGAGACUACGCAGUAGCUCUCCUGUGACAAACAGACCAAUAAAAGCCCAUCGGCUGCAGCGGCACAACCCACUAAGCAGCAGCCCAAGAGCAGCAACCAGUCACAUCUACCGUCACGCACGACCGAACGAGAGACACUUCGCAGCUCAGCUCUGUUCAAAUGCUCCUAAAAAACCUCAGUCCAAAUUCACCAAAUCCACCAGCACGGUAGCACUAGAGCCAGAUGAGCACGGGGGAGCGGCGCUCUGACCUCUGUGCGGGCGUGCGGCUGUGCCGAUGGAGAGGUCGACGAAGUCGCGGGCUCCGGACGCUGAUAGGAUGGAGCCCUCCGUGCGGCUAGCCCAGAAGUUAGUUUUUUUUAACCAUCUUCUUAUCAAAUUUUGAUUGCUUUACUCUCUGAUUUUUCUUUGUGUGAACAUAUAGUAGGGUUGUGUUAUAGUGAAGAAAGUAAGUUAUAUUCACUCCAGACCUACAUAUCUGUUAAUGGAACUUUUAUGUUUGUUCAAGUUGACAUUAAAACAUACUUGUAUCAGUUAUAUCGUAUUUAUAUGAGGAUGUGUGAAAUAAACAGUGUAUUAUAGUCCUUUUAAAUACACAACUAUUUUUGUAUUACUGCCCGAACAUAUAAAUUUUCUUCGCAUACGUUGUAGAACCACGAUCACAUGCUUGAUCCACUGCAUCACUCAAUGGUCAUGAGCUCCACUGUCCUCAUCUGCAGAGUGAAAUAUGACCACCUAGGGAUAGCCGUUGUGCCAUUGUAGAUCACAGGUGGACAACAACCAUCAUGGUGAUUGGUGAGCAACCUUGUUGGAGCCUCGAGGCCCAAAAUUCCACUUCACCUUUCUAGGUAUUUCAGUUUUGGGCUUGCAUAUUUCAGUUUGUCAUCUAGUUCUGCCCAUGUAAGAGUUGUUUCUAGCUGGGUAUGUGUUAAUCCAGGAAGAAUAUUUCCAUCUCUUUUCCUAAAUAAUUCUUUCUUGUGAUGAAUUAGGUUUGAUUCUCUUUCUGCUAUGUGUGUGGAUAAUUAGUUAUAUUUUCGUGAAGAUUUUCAUGGCAGAGGGCAGGCCUGGCGCAGUGGUGAAGUCCUCCCCACUUGUGCCAAGAGGUCCUGGGUUCGAACCAGCCUCUCUGCAUUGCACUUUGCAGGGGUAAGACUAGGUUCCUAUAAUCCCUCCCCAGACCCCACCUUGUGUGGGAGCUUCUAUGCACUGGGUCUGUCCUUUAAGAUUUUCAUGGCAGAUCAAGUAAAUAAGCUGUGAUGGUAUCUCUGGAUAUCCUAGCUGUGACCCUGUGACCAAGUCAUGAAAGAAGAUUCCUUCAAGUAUUAGUUAAUAGGUGAGCACUAUUAUCUAUGACAUCAUGUUAAUUUCUGGGAAAGAAAAAGUAUCUUCGUAUCAGUGUUUAUGAUUCCUUACUGAUUUCGUUGUCCCACAUAAUGUAGUUCUAUAGGAAUAAGCCGCACAUGCAUCUAUUCGUCCUAAUAUUCCUAUUUAUUGUAUACUUGUUAAUUUCAUCUUCUCUCACAGGUUCUAAAGUGACUUUGCUUCAGGUAACAUGCUUGUGUUUGUUGUUUCUCUUAACAGGUAAAUCUUCGAGACUUGUGAAUAUUGCAAAUAGGAAAUAUAUAAAUCAAUAAGUUCACAGAAUAUGCCUUAAGAAUGAACUCAGAGCUUUGGCUUUAUUAAAUGGGAUCUUCGCAAGUUGAUGAUUGCGCCACACCACUCUUUUCAAUAAAUUAAGUUCUUUAAAAAUGCAAUGUUUUUAUUUGUUUAUUUUCGUAUUCUAUAGUUGAAUUUUCAAUGGAAGACUAGCAUACGUGUUAUCUAGCUUGAUAUUCUUGGCUGAUGUAAGAUAAAGCAUUCGGAUCCAUAUUUUGUACAAUUCUAUACACCAUAAUCCAGAAUAUUAUACAAAAUCUUAGGAUGGAUACAGUUCUUGUGUUCAUGUGUUAUACAAGAUAAAUCAUUACAGAAUUUGAAUGCAAGAAUAUUCUAACUUUUGUUUACAUGAAUCACAACUAUGAACAUGCAGAGACAUGAAAAAUAUUUUGAAUUAUCAAAUAUGAAGUCGUUUUAUGCAUUUAUUUUAGUUUCAGUUUCAGCUACAUCCGAUUUCCCAAGCUUUCUGUACCUAUUUGUAUUGUUUGAUCAGUCAUUUGUCAAUCGCCGACCACUCGACCUACCUUAAGCUGCACCAAAGGCGUGCCACCGCAUAGGUAAGCUUCUCUCUCGCGCCCUCUACAUUUGCAUACUUUACCUUGCUUUGGUGAAUCUGAAAGAUGAUGACUACUACUAUUGACAAAAGGGAAAGAUCAGGAAAAUUUUGAGAGUUGAAAACACACCUCUUCCUCUGAUGGAUGCUUCCAACUACUAGAACUAGAUGGUUCCCAUAUUGAGUUCACCCACUAACCUGCUAGAAAAAGAAAUGUCAUUUUAGCAUUCUUAAAUAGGAAAACUUAUAAGUUGUAACAUGACAGAAAAUUUAAACAAUAUUGUGUAAACUACUAUGGAGGUCAGAUUUAUAUCAUUAUUUGCCAGGCUUGGUGACUCAUGUCAGUUUUUUGUUGUUGUAGAUUGCAAGACAAAUAGAUGGUCCAUGGCUAAGCUGUUGAUUGCAAGAUAAAUAGAUGGCGCAUGGCUAAUUUGUUGAUUGCAAGGCGGAGAAUGGGGCAACUACCAGAUAGUUCUACAUUAAUGUUAAGAGUGUUACUUUCAUGGUCAAUGUAUAGAAAAUCAUGUAUAUAUUCCCUGGAUCGUGUUCCAUGUAUUGCAAACGAGUUGAUUUAAUAUAUGAGAUCUUUCUGUUUACCGGAUUGCUACUCCUAUGUACUAUCUCUGUUGAUCUAGUAUUUAUUGCUG
rnacentral:rRNA from 1 species